rnacentral:rRNA from 1 species
UACGGGGGGGGCUAGCGUUGUUCGGAAUUACUGGGCGUAAAGGGCGCGUAGGCGGUCUGCUAAGUUGGAUGUGAAAACUCUGGGCUUAACCCAGAGCCUGCAUUCAAUACUGACAGGCUAGAGUUCUGGAGGGGAUAGCGGAAUUCCUGGUGUAGCGGUGAAAUGCGUAGAUAUCUGGAGGAACACCGGUGGCGAAGGCGGUGGUCUGGGCCGGCACUGACGCUGAGGAGCGAAAGCGUGGGGAGCAAACAGG